GACGAACGCUGGCGGCGUGCUUAACACAUGCAAGUCGAACGGAAAGGCCCUGCUUUUGUGGGGUGCUAGAGUGGCCAACGGGCGAGUAACACGUGCGUAACCUGCCCUUGACUUUGGGAUAACUUCAGGAAACUGGGGAUAAUACCGGAUAGGAGACCCUGCUGCUUGGUGGGGGUUGGAAAGAUUCGGCGGUUGGGGAUGGACUCGCGGUUUAUCAGCUUGUUGGUGGGGUAUUGGCUUACCAAGGCCUUGACGGGUAGCCGGCCUUAGAGCGUGACCGGCCACAAGGGGACUGAGGUACGGCGCAGACUCCUACGGGAGGCAGCGGUGGGGAAUAUUGCACAAUGGGCGGAAGCCUGAUGCAGCAACGCCGCGUGCGGGAUGACGGCCUUCGGGUGGUAAACCGCUUUCGCCUGUGACGAAGCGUGAGUGACGGUAAUGGGUAAGGAAGCACCGGCUAACUACGUG
rnacentral:rRNA from 1 species